rnacentral:lncRNA from 1 species
AGUCGGCCACAGGUAAGGAGGUCAAGAUCAUUUAUGCUUUUGGAAGCUCGAUGUCGGCGAGACUGGGACAUAGAAUCAGCUCAAUUUUGUUUCAACAGUACCGAUAUUUGUGCUAACGAGGAUGGAUGCAGUUUCGAAAUUAAGAAUCGAGCAACAAGAAAAGGGAGAAGAUAUCGGAGGAGGCUAACGAUUAUAAAUAGUGUAUAAUAAGGGGAGGAGAACGGAAAAGAGGGGGACACAGACAUAUUCAUUCCCGCUUACACACCUAUAUAAUCACCUUUAUGAAGAUGUAUAUUUUGUAUCAGUUCGUGAAGUACUGCAUGAGGUAGUACAUGCGUGUGUCAUGAAGAUGGGCUUGGUUGAAGUUCGUAUGUUGUGAUGUCCGUAGGUUUGUUAAGCCUGGAGAAGAAACAAUAUGUUUAUUGGAAGAUUUACAUUAAGUGUAAUGGAUAUUACUUGAAG